rnacentral:rRNA from 1 species
AGCAGCCGCGGUAAUUCCAGCUCCAAUAGCGUAUAUUAAAGUUGUUGCAGUUAAAAAGCUCGUAGUUGAAUUUCGGAAUCAGUACGCCGGUCAUGCUUCGGUAUGUACUAGUGUCACUGAUUCCUUCCUUCUGACGAACCGUCAUGCCAUUAAUUUAGUGUGACGGGGAAUCAGGACUGUUACUUUGAAAAAUUAGAGUGUUUAAAGCAGGCUCGCGCUUGAAUACAUUAGCAUGGAAUAAUGAAAUAGGACGUUGAUCUUAUUUUGUUGGUUUCUUAGAUCGACGUAAUGAUUAAUAGGGAUAGUUGGGGGCAUUAGUAUUCAAUUGUUAGAGGUGAAAUUCUUGGAUUUAUUGAAGACUAACUACUGCGAAAGCAUUUGCCAAGGAUG